CUUUGAGAAAGUGGAAGCUGAGAGACAGACUGAGGGAGCAUGCUGCCUGCAGACAAAAAGUGAACAUUGCAGUAGGCCUAAUCAGGCUAAAUGACUCGCACCUGGGAGCCAGAGAGGGGAUUGACGGUUUUUAAAUAAAGAGGACAGAACAGCAGCAGGGGAGGACUUCAGACAGAGAUUCAGACAUCACACACAUGCAGGGAAGACACACAUGGGAGAGACGUAUAGAAGAUGGAGGAGACACACGAGGGAGGACGAGGAAAGCACAACAGACACGGAUGGAGAGACACAGGGAAAGAACCAUAGAGGAGGCCUGAGGCUACACCAAAGGAAACACAAACACCGAUCGCUAGCGGCAACAGUGGGAGAAGGUUAUGCCCCAGGAGAGGAGACAUACGAUAAAGAAGCUGGUUGCCAGCGGAGCCCUAUGGACCUUUUUAAUGCUGAGACUCCUGUUCUGUUGGACUGUUUUAGCUUGAUUUUAGUUAGUUGUGUUUUUAGUUUUUUAAAUCCUUUUUAAGGAGGAAUUUUAAUUAGUU